GCCGAAGUGGUGAAAUUGGUAUACACGCAUGACUCAAAAUCAUGUGAGGGCAACCUCGUGUGGGUUCGAGUCCCACCUUCGGCA
rnacentral:tRNA from 2 species